rnacentral:rRNA from 1 species
AUGUUGGCGAUGCGGUGGCCGUGGCCGCCGGCGGCGAGGAAGUUCAGCGUGCGGCUGGUGGUGCGGCGGGCGGAGGGCCUGCCCCCUGCCCCCGCGACGGACGCCGAUGCCGAGGCCAGGAUGGCCGUCGAGCUCAAGUGGAAGGGCCCCAAGGCCAGGUGGAAGGGCCUCCGGGUCUGCCGCAACCGCACGCGCCUGGAGGCGCCGGCGCCGGCGGUGGAUGCGGAGCCCUCCGCGGCGGCCGUGGCGUGGGACGAGGAGUUCGAGGACGUGGUCACCCUCACCGCGGCCUCGCACCGCAAGCCCGCCGCCGCGUUCCACCCCUGGGACCUCUCCUUCUCCGUCCUCAAUGAUUCAAAUAAAGGCCCAAAAGGUGAAUUAAUUUUGGGAACUGCAUCACUGAACCUAGCAGAUUACACAUCUGCUCCUGAAGAGGAAAUCGAGAUCAUCCUCCCAUUAUCGGUGCCCAAUGGCACACCUGAGUCUUCCCCAUCACUUCAUCUCACUCUGAGUUUGGUGGAACUAAGACUUCCUCAGCAAUCAUCAGAUGCAGCACAGCGUUCUGUUGCUUGUGUCCCAUUGUCACCAUCUUCUGGUGACUCUGUUCCUUCUGGAAAAGAUGAGCAUUCUGUUAUUAAAGCUGGGCUGAGAAAGGUGAAAAUCAUCACAGAUCUUGUGUCGACUCGGAGGUCUAAGAAGGCUAAGAGAGAGGAUGACAGCAGUGAUAAGUAUGUUCAUAGUGACGGCGCCGAAUACCCUUGUGUUAUUGACUCUGAUGAUGAUCUAGAUGAUAGACAGAGGGAUGAUGACUUUGGGGGUUCAACUGUCAGGAAGUCCUUCAGCUACGGUUCGCUGCAGUCUGUGAAUGUAGCUGGUGGCCUCUUUUAUGCACAUGCAAGGAUUGAUGGAGAGCAUGAGGACUGGAUAUAUUACAGUCACCGUAAAUCUGACGCCGGCUAUCAUGUAGAGAAAGAGCCAUCAUCCACUUCGGAGGAGAAUUCCUCUGUAGUUAUUCCGCGAAAAAGGAGCAUACUUCCUUGGAGAAAGGUCAAACUGCCGAAGAAAGGGGAACCCUUGUUGAAGAACAAGAAUGGCGAAGAGGGUGGCGAUGAUAUUGACUAUGAUCGUCGGCUAUUAACCUCUUCUGAUGAAUCCGUUUCUGGGGGAUCAAGUGGUUCUGUUAGUACUAUGGAGUCAGUAUUUGGCGAUGACAAUUUUGUUGUGGGGAACUGGGAGUCAAAGGAGGUACUUAGUCGUGAUGGGCAUUUGAAGCUUUCCACCCAGGUGUUCUUCGCAUCAAUAGACCAGAGGAGUGAACGGGCUGCCGGGGAGAGUGCCUGCACCGCACUGGUGGCUGUCAUCGCGGACUGGUUCCAGGCAAACCAGGAGCUGAUGCCAAUCCGCUCACAGUUUGACAGCCUCAUCCGAGAAGGAUCUCUAGAGUGGAGGAAACUUUGUGAGAAUGAGACCUAUAGAGAGCGCUUCCCCGACAAGCACUUUGAUCUUGAGACAGUACUUCAUGCCAAGAUCCGCCCACUCACAGUUGCUCCUAGCAAGUCAUUCGUUGGGUUUUUCCAGCCUGAAAGUGCAGAGGAUGGCAGUGGGUUUGACUUCCUUGAUGGUGCCAUGUCCUUCGAUAACAUCUGGGAAGAGAUCAGCCAAGCAGCGGAGGCUUCCACUGAGAAGCCUACUCUUUAUGUUGUCAGCUGGAACGACCAUUUUUUUGUUCUCAAGGUCGAGGCUGACGCAUAUUACAUCAUUGAUACGCUUGGUGAGAGGCUGUAUGAAGGUUGCAACCAGGCAUACAUCUUGAAGUUCGACGACAGCACCACAAUUCACAAAGAGCCAGCCGAAAAGAAAGAAGGCAGCCCUGAUUCCAGCGCGCACCACAAGGAUUCUGCGGAAAGCUCCUCCACCGAGCAGGACAGCGGAACCGACGACACCGAGGAGACCGAGCUCGUCGUGCUCAAGGGCAAGGAGGCAUGCAAGGAGUACAUCAAGAGCUUCCUGGCCGCCAUCCCGAUCCGGGAGCUGCAGGCCGACAUCAAGAAGGGGCUCAUGGCGUCGACGCCGCUGCACCACCGCCUCCAGAUCGAGUUCCACUACACCGAGGCAUGCCCCAGAGAGAUCACCCUCCCGGCGGCCCAGGCCCCCGCGAUCGAAGCCCCCUUCGAGUUUUGCUGGCCCGACCCGCCGCCCGCCAUGGAGUUUCCCCUGGCACCUGCAGUCGCCGUUGUAUAG